AGCGGAUUGAUUUUCUGGGCUCGUGAAGAUCGGAGGAAUACAACAACGAAUUGAUUUUCUGGGUUCGUGAAGAGUGAAUUGAUUUUCUGUUCGAUUAAUAAUAUAUUGGAGUUCUAGUGAAAUCUUUAAAUUUUGGUUUGAGCAGUUUGGAUAAGUGGUUGUCCCCUAAAUCUGGAAGAAUACCAUUGCUCUUUUUUCCAGCCUCGGGAGAAGUAGCACCAAUCUACAAGUACACUACACUAGUACUGGAAUAUGUUGCAACACAGGAACGUGGUGGUAAUGUAUUAACUGACUUGUCAGAGUUAGAUGAAUAUCUUGGCGAGACGUACAGAGGUUGUCUAAAUUCACUCGACAUCCUAAACUAUUGGAAGAACCAUGAACAACAAUAUCCAGUACUUUCAAGAA